rnacentral:piRNA from 1 species
UAACAUUCACAGGGAUUUCUUUCCUUGUC